rnacentral:rRNA from 1 species
GAUGAACGCUCGCGGGAGGCCUAACACAUGCAAGCCGAGCGGUAUUUGUUCUUCGGAACAGAGAGAGCGGCGCACGGGUGCGGAACACGUGUGCAACCUGCCUUUAUCUGGGGGAUAGCCUUUCGAAAGGAAGAUUAAUACCCCAUAAUAUAUUGAGUGGCAUCACUUGAUAUUGAAAACUCCGGUGGAUAGAGAUGGGCACGCGCAAGAUUAGAUAGUUGGUGAGGUAACGGCUCACCAAGUCAAUGAUCUUUAGGGGGCCUGAGAGGGUGAUCCCCCACACUGGUACUGAGACACGGACCAGACUCCUACGGGAGGCAGCAGUGAGGAAUAUUGGACAAUGGGUUAGCGCCUGAUCCAGCCAUCCCGCGUGAAGGACGACGGCCCUAUGGGUUGUAAACUUCUUUUGUAUAGGGAUAAACCUACUCUCGUGAGAGUAGCUGAAGGUACUAUACGAAUAAGCACCGGCUAACUCCGUG